rnacentral:misc_RNA from 1 species
GGUUUGGCUUUCUUGGAUUCCACAGUUAUUACUUUCGUUGCAGAGGACAGAAGCUCCACAUUGCAAGCUUGUUCUUAUGAAAGUUGCUACUGUCUUUCCACAGGCAUUGUAUUACUGGUUGAGAACAUAUUUGCUUGAGCGUCGGGAUGUCGCAAGUAAGUCUGAAUAUGGCAGAAUGGCAAUGGCACAGCAAAGAAUGCAGCAAAAUGUU